rnacentral:tRNA from 1 species
CCUGCUUGUGGCCCGGCGGGGUGAAGGGCACCUGCUGUUCGCGGUGGUAGGCGGCAAGGGCGUCCAGGACGGGGGCUUCCGAGUGGUCCAUGGGGGGC